rnacentral:sRNA from 1 species
AGAGAAGUAGGUGCCGCCCCGCACAGGGGCGACGCUAAUAGACCACUAACAAUGCAAGGAGAGGCCAACACCCGAAGAACCCAACCAAAGCACCGCACCGGAACCAAAACCCUCAAAGCUUCUG